CCUACGGGAGGCAGCAGUGAGGAAUAUUGGUCAAUGGACAAGAGUCUGAACCAGCCAAGUAGCGUGAAGGAUGACUGCCCUAUGGGUUGUAAACUUCUUUUAUAUGGGAAUAAAACGUUCCACGUGUGGGAUUUUGUAUGUACCAUAUGAAUAAGGAUCGGCUAACUCCGUGCCAGCAGCCGCGGUAAUACGGAGGAUCCGAGCGUUAUCCGGAUUUAUUGGGUUUAAAGGGAGCGUAGGUGGAUUGUUAAGUCAGUUGUGAAAGUUUGCGGCUCAACCGUAAAAUUGCAGUUGAAACUGGCAGUCUUGAGUACAGUAGAGGUGGGCGGAAUUCGUGGUGUAGCGGUGAAAUGCUUAGAUAUCACGAAGAACUCCGAUUGCGAAGGCAGUUCACUGGACUGCAACUGACACUGAGGCUCGAAAGUGUGGGUAUCAAACAGGAUUAGAUACCCCUGUAGUC
rnacentral:rRNA from 1 species